UCAGUUGUGAAAGUUUGCGGCUCAACCGUAAAAUUGCAGUUGAUACUGGAUAUCUUGAGUGCAGUUGAGGCAGGCGGAAUUCGUGGUGUAGCGGUGAAAUGCUUAGAUAUCACGAAGAACUCCGAUUGCGAAGGCAGCCUGCUAAGCUGCAACUGACAUUGAGGCUCGAAAGUGUGGGUAUCAAACAGGAUUAGAUACCCUGGUAGUCCACACGGUAAACGAUGAAUACUCGCUGUUUGCGAUAUACGGCAAGCGGCCAAGCGAAAGCGUUAAGUAUUCCACCUGGGGAGUACGCCGGCAACGGUGAAACUCAAAGGAAUUGACGGGGGCCCGCACAAGCGGAGGAACAUGUGGUUUAAUUCGAUGAUACGCGAGGAACCUUACCCGGGCUUAAAUUGCACUCGAAUGAUUCGGAAACGGUUCAGCUAGCAAUAGCGAGUGUGAAGGUGCUGCAUGGUUGUCGUCAGCUCGUGCCGUGAGGUGUCGGCUUAAG
rnacentral:rRNA from 1 species